AACGAACGCUGGCGGCGUGCUUAACACAUGCAAGUCGAACGGAUCAAGGGGCUUGCUCCUUGAUUAGUGGCGCACGGGUGAGUAACGCGUGGAUAAUCUGCCCGACAAUCUGGGAUAACAUCUCGAAAGGGGUGCUAAUACCGGAUAAGCCCACGGGGUCUUCGGAUCUUGCGGGAAAAGAGGGGGACCUUCGGGCCUCUUGUCGUCGGAUGAGUCCGCGUACCAUUAGCUAGUUGGCGGGGUAAAGGCCCACCAAGGCUACGAUGGUUAGCUGGUCUGAGAGGAUGAUCAGCCACACUGGAACUGAGACACGGUCCAGACUCCUACGGGAGGCAGCAGUGGGGAAUUUUGCGCAAUGGGGGAAACCCUGACGCAGCAACGCCGCGUGAGUGAUGAAGGCCUUCGGGUCGUAAAGCUCUGUCUAGAGGAAAGAAGUGUGGGGUGGCUAAUAUCCACUUCACUUGACGGUACCUCUGAAGGAAGCACCGGCUAACUCCGUGCCAGCAGCCGCGGUAAUACGGAGGGUGCGAGCGUUGUUCGGAUUUAUUGGGCGUAAAGCGCGUGUAGGCGGUUUCUUAAGUCUGAUGUGAAAGCCCCGGGCUCAACCUGGGAAGUGCAUUGGAUACUGGGAGACUUGAAUACGGGAGAGGGUAGUGGAAUUCCUAGUGUAGGAGUGAAAUCCGUAGAUAUUAGGAGGAACACCGGUGGCGAAGGCGGCUACCUGGACCGAUAUUGACGCUGAGACGCGAAAGCGUGGGUAGCAAACAGGAUUAGAUACCCUGGUAGUCCACGCCGUAAACGAUGAGAACUAGGUGUUGCGGGUAUUGACCCCUGCAGUGCCGCAGCUAACGCAUUAAGUUCUCCGCCUGGGAAGUACGGUCGCAAGACUAA
rnacentral:rRNA from 1 species